UCCUACGGGAGGCAGCAGUGAGGAAUCUUGCGCAAUGGAGGCAACUCUGACGCAGCCACGCCGCGUGCUGGAAGACGGCCCUAUGGGUUGUAAACAGCUUAAGGUCGGGAAGAACCCCGGAGUUUCGACUCCGGCUGACGGUACCGAUUGAAUAAGCACCGGCUAACUCCGUGCCAGCAGCCGCGGUAAU
rnacentral:rRNA from 1 species